CCACUACCUGCUCCCCAGCCCCGCUCUCACUGCCGACAAUGUCACCUCCCCUGCCCCUCUCGUUGCUGACUGCUGCAGCCUCUUGCCAGGUGUGAUCUUUACUCCAAGCGCUCGUCCAUGGAAACAAGGCCAUGAACCCCUGAGGAACAUGGGAUAAUUAAGUGACAACCAAUUCUCACUGGUCUCAAUACAUGUGGACAAAGAAAGACACAUGCGACUGGGACAGCUCAUCUAUAAUAGCACGGGCCAGAUAGAGACAUCCCAGGAAUUCCUGGAGCCUGGAACUCCAGCAACAAACACAUUGAACUAGACCUGAGAGACAAAUCACUUAAUAACAAAAGGAGAAGAGACACCAACCUCUCCAGCAAACUAAGGCAGAUAAAUAACAAGCUGGACAUGACGUCAGUGCUUCGCUGGAGGUACACUGACAAUAUUACCUAGCAGGGUGACAAAAUGUCUGCAAUCAAGAAUAGCACUUUUGCAGAAGAGUUUGCCUGCAAUAUUCUCCCUCUUUUCACCAAUGCAGAAUCCAAGCUUGGUAAGAUUUAGAAUUACUUCUGGUUUUCUUGAAAACGUAACUGAGCCACCAGUUCUGUUCCUCUGCUACUCAGUCUGAAGCUGAACCAGACGAUUCAUGACCAUGGUAUCCCAUUUGACCGUGAGCACAUGUUCUAACCUCACUUCAUUCACCACUAAGAUUGCCUACUUUCAUCUCCAUAACAUCAGUUGUCUUAGAAUUAGAUGGGUUUAGUUGGAUUAGAUGGGUGGACAAUGAGUCUUUUUCCGAGGAUGAUGACGUCAGCUUGUACGUGGGGGCAUAGCUAUAAAUUGAGGGGUGAUAGAUUUAAGACAGAUGACAGAGGCAGGUUCUUUACUCAGGUAGUGGUAAGGACGUGGAAUGCCCUGCCUACUAAUGUAGUUAACUCAGCCACAUUAGGGGCAUUUAAACAGUCCUUCCAUAAGCAUAUGGAUGAUGAUGGGAUGGUGUAGGGGGAUGGGCUUAGAUAGUUCACAGGUCAGCGCAACAUCGAGGGCCGAAGGGCCUGUUCUGCGCUGUAUUGUUCUAUAUUUUGAUUGACAUAUCCAUGAAUCAGUAUUCUUCAGUAUGGUUGAAUCAAGGCUCUACUGGAACAUUGGCCUGAGUCACAGUUAGUAAUGGAACACAAAUCCUCAACUGAGGAUGG